rnacentral:rRNA from 1 species
AGAGUUUGAUCAUGGCUCAGGAUGAACGCUAGCGGCAGGCUUAACGCAUGCAAGUCGAGGGGCAGCGCGGGGCGGCAACGUCCUGGCGGCGACCGGCGGAAGGGUGCGUAACGCGUGAGCGACAUGCCCGUUGCCCGGGGACAACCGGUGGAAACGCCGACUAAUCCCCGAUGGGAUACGAUGCUUCAUGGCAUUGUAUUGAAAGUUACGGCGGCGACGGAUUGGCUCGCGUCCGAUUAGCUUGUUGGCGGGGUAACGGCCCACCAAGGCUACGAUCGGUAGGGGUUCUGAGAGGAAGGCCCCCCACAAUGGGACUGAGACACGGCCCAUACUCCUACGGGAGGCAGCAGUGAGGAAUAUUGGUCAAUGGGCGGAAGCCUGAACCAGCCAUGCCGCGUGCGGGAAGGAGGCCCUAUGGGCUGUGAACCGCUUUUGCCUGGGGGCAAUAAGGGCGUCGCGCACGUCCGAUGAGAGUACCAGGCGAAUAAGCAUCGGCUAACUCCGUGCCAGCAGCCGCGGUAAUACGGGGGAUGCGAGCGUUAUCCGGAUUCAUUGGGUUUAAAGGGUGCGUAGGCUGUGCGUCAAGUCGGGGGUGAAAUUCCGGUGCUCAACACCGGGGCUGCCCUUGAUACUGUCGCGCUGGAGUGCGGAUGCCGCCGGAGGAAUGAGUGGUGUAGCGGUGAAAUGCUUAGAUAUCACUCAGAACACCGAUUGCGAAGGCAUCUGGCGAAUCCGUAACUGACGCUGAGGCACGAAAGCGUGGGGAUAGAACAGGAUUAGAUACCCUGGUAUUCCACGCCGUAAACGAUGAUGGCUAACCGCCGGCGACACACUGUCGGUGGCCAAGCGAAAGCGAUAAGCCAUCCACCUGGGGAGUACGUCGGCAACGAUGAAACUCAAAGGAAUUGACGGGGGCCCGCACAAGCGGAGGAACAUGUGGUUUAAUUCGAUGAUACGCGAGGAACCUUACCCGGGCUUGAAUUGCAGAGGAAGGAUUUGGAGACAAUGACGCCCUUCGGGGCCUCUGUGAAGGUGCUGCAUGGUUGUCGUCAGCUCGUGCCGUGAGGUGUCGGCUUAAGUGCCAUAACGAGCGCAACCCCUCUCCUUAGUUGCCAUCAGGUUAAGCUGGGCACUCUGGGGACACUGCCACCGUAAGGUGUGAGGAAGGUGGGGAUGACGUCAAAUCAGCACGGCCCUUACGUCCGGGGCUACACACGUGUUACAAUGGCAGGUACAGAGAGACGGUCCCUUGCAAAACGGAUCAAAUCCUUAAAGCCUGUCUCAGUUCGGACUGGGGUCUGCAACCCGACCCCACGAAGCUGGAUUCGCUAGUAAUCGCGCAUCAGCCAUGGCGCGGUGAAUACGUUCCCGGGCCCUGUACACACCGCCCGUCAAGCCAUGAAAGCCGGGGGCGCCUAAAGUCCGUGACCGUAAGGAGCGGCCUAGGGCGAAACUGGUAAUUGGGGCUAAGUCGUAACAAGGUA